AUGUACAUGCCUACACAUAGCGUUAAUGCACAGGAUCCCAUUAGAACUCCACAGUUAAGCGUGCUUAGGCUAGAGUACUGGGAUGGGUGAUCGCCCGGGAAUUCCUAGUGUUUUACAUG
rnacentral:rRNA from 1 species